rnacentral:rRNA from 1 species
AGAGUUUGAUCCUGGCUCAGGAUAAACGCUGGCGGCGUGCUUAACACAUGCAAGUCGAACGAAGUUUUUCUUUCGGGAGGAACUUAGUGGCGGACGGGUGAGUAACGCGUGGGUAGCCUGCCCUGUACAGGGGGACAACAGCUGGAAACGGCUGCUAAUACCGCAUAAGCCCUUAGCACUGCAUGGUGCAUAGGGAAAAGGAGCAAUCCGGUACAGGAUGGACCCGCGUCUGAUUAGCCAGUUGGCAGGGUAACGGCCUACCAAAGCGACGAUCAGUAGCCGAUCUGAGAGGAUGUACGGCCACAUUGGGACUGAGACACGGCCCAGACUCCUACGGGAGGCAGCAGUGGGGAAUAUUGCACAAUGGAGGAAACUCUGAUGCAGCGACGCCGCGUGAGUGAAGAAGUAUUUCGGUAUGUAAAGCUCUAUCAGCAGGGAAGAAAAUGACGGUACCUGACUAAGAAGCACCGGCUAAAUACGUGCCAGCAGCCGCGGU